GCAGAGGUAGGAGGAUGACUUGAGUCCAGGAGUUCAAGACCAGCUUGGGCAACAUGGCAAAACCCUGUCUCUAAAUAAAUUAAAAUCAGCUGGGCAUGGUGGCAUACAUCUGUGGUCCCAGUUACUUAGGUGUCUGAGGUGAGAGGAUCACUUGAGCCUGCGAGGUUGAGGCUGCAGUGAGCCAAUAUUGUGCCACUGUACUCCAGCCUAGGUGACAGAGUGAAAUCCUCUCUCUCAAAAAAAAAGAAAAGAAAAGAAUUUAAAAAUCGAACCAUGUACAUCACAUCCCGGAGGGAGCAGAGAGCCUGGCACAUUCCAAGAGAAAAAAGGAAAAAAAAAAUGAUGUGAGCUAGACAACAGUGUUGCAGGCUAAAGUUGCAAGGCCUGAGGACCCCAUUAGCUCUGCAGCCUUUGUUGAGCCCAGCAGGAAACCACUAAGGACUUGGAAGCAGAACAGGGACAGAAGUGUUUUUUGUUUGUUUACCUGCGGGAUCUGCUAUUGUUGUCCAGGCUGGUCCUGAACUCCUGGCCUCAAGCACAGUGGCUCACACCUGUAGUUCCAGCAUUUUGAGAGGCUGAGGCAGGAGGAUCGCUUGAACCCACAAGUUCAAGAUCAGCCUGGGCAACAUAGUGAGAUCCUAUCUCUAAAAAAAAAAAGUUUUUUAAUUAGCCAGGUAUGAUGGUGCACCCUUAUAGUUCCAGCUACUCAAGAGGCUAAGGUAGGAGGAUCUCUUGAGCCUCGGGAGGUCAAGGUUACCGUGAGUUGUGAUCAUGUCACUGCACUUCAGCCUGGGUGACAGGGUGACACCCCUGUCUCAAAAUAAAAGAUAACACUUGAGCUGUAGAUUGGAUCACAAUAAGAGGUAUCUAUUAUGCUUGGAGAAAUUUAAAAAUGAGAUAAAAGGUAUUGUGGAAUAGACUGUUCAUAUGUACUGGAAAUAGAAAGGAAUAUGAGAAGUAGGAUAUGCUAGAAAUGCAGAAAUAAAAUGACAAUAAAAAAAAGAACUUAGAAAUCAUUCAUAAUUCCACCAUCCAGGAAAGCUGACUUCCUUCUAGUGCUCCCUCUUUGUGUCCUACUUUUCUCCUAAGAGUAUAUUCUGAGCAUUUUCCCAUGAUAUCAAAUACUCUUGAGAAUAUGAUUUUUACUGGCCACCUAAUCAUUCUAUCAUAUAGAUAUGCAAACAUGUAUUUGGCCAGUCCUGUGUUGUGAGGCAUUCGGGUUGUCUCAAGUUUUUGCUAGGUUCAAUUAUGCUGUCAUGGACUUUUCGUCCAAGUUGGAUGUAACAGAAAACCUAGUUCAAACAAGCAGGAAGCAAACAGGAGUCAGUGGCGAAACUCAGCAGUGAAGAGGAAAGAAGCUUUGGGCAAGGCUCAGUCAGGGAUCCUGCUCCAUUUCCCUGGAGUUCUUCAGGGUUUGCCCUUCUCUGUUGGCAGUGGUGCCCUCAGGCUGGCUCCUCUGCAGCCCUUGGGUGAUAAACUUUUCUGUUCGUGACCAUGGGAGUGGCCUGUUUUGCGCUGACUGGGCCACCUGAUGAAAGGCUAGGGAUGAGGGAGGGAAUCUAUAACCCUGAGUGUCUUGGGUCUGGGUUCCCAGUCCGUCCUUGAGCGGGCAACUGUGGCAAGACAUGUGAGGGUGGCUGUUGCACGAUGUAGGGGAAUGGGGGGAAAUGCUGAGGACAUAACCAAAGAACAUCCUCUGGCUACUCAGAGAGGGCCUGUAGACCAGCAGCCUCCGCAUCACCUGGGAACUUACUGGACAUGACUCCCAGACCUAGCAGAUCAGUCUGCAUUUUCAUAAGGCUUCCAGGAGGCAGUUCUCACAUUGAAGUUGAGAAGCCCUGCCCUCUGGCACCCUUGUGUAGGGAUCCCUGAAAAUAGAAUGGCUGGAUCAACAGCAUGGAUGUUUUAAAAAUUAUUAUUAUUAUUAUUUUUUUUUUUUUUGAGAUGGAGUUUCGCUCUUGUUUCCCAGGCUGGAGUGCAAUGGCGGGAUCUCAGUUCACUGCAAACUCCGUCUCCCGGGUUCAAGCAAUUCCUCUGCCUCAGCCUCCCGAGUAGCUGGGACUACAGGCGCCCGCCACCUCGCCUGGCUAAUGUUUUGUAUUUUUAGUAGAGACGGGUUUUCACCGUAUUAACCAGGAUGGUCUCCAUCUCCUGACCUCGUGAUCCGCCUGCCUCAGCUGCCCAAAGUGCUGGGAUUACAGGCGUGAGCCACUGUGCCCGGCCAGCCUGAAAAUUCUUAAUACACAUUGUCAAAUUGUUCUAUAAAAGGUUCUGUCUCUUCACAUUCCCACCCUGGGAUCUGGGUGUUUGAGGCCUAAAACUCAUGCAACUUGGGGAAGCCCUUUUUAAGAAAAAGAAUAAACAAUUAAGUACAAAAGUGAAUAUUUAGAAUAACAGAAAAUUUAAGGAUACCUUGGCCAGGCAUGGUCGCUCACGCCUGUAAUCUCAGCACUUUGGGAGGGCGAGGUGGGAUGACUGCUUGAGCUCAGGAGUUGAGACCAGCCUGAGCAACACAGUGAGACUCUGUCUCUACCAAAGUUAAAAAAAAAAAUUAGCCGGGCAUAGUGGUGCACACCUGCAGUCCCAGCUGCUUGGGGGGCUGAGGUAGGAGGAUCACUUGAACCCUGAAAGUCGAGGCUGCAGUGAGCCCUGAUCAUACCAUUGUACUACAGCCUGGGUGACAGAGCGAGACCCUGUCUCAAAAAAAAAAAAAAAAAAAAAAAA
ensembl:lncRNA